GACGAACGCUGGCGGCGCGCCUAACACAUGCAAGUCGAACGGAGUCAAGAGGAGCUCGCUUUUCUUGACUUAGUGGCGAACGGGUGAGUAACGCGUGAGUAACCUGCCCUGGAGGGGGGGACAACAGUAGGAAACGACUGCUAAUACCGCAUAAGCCCACGGAUCCGCAUGGAUCUGCGGGAAAAGGAUUUAGUCGCUUCAGGAUGGACUCGCGUCCAAUUAGCUAGUUGGUGAGGUAACGGCCCACCAAGGCGACGAUUGGUAGCCGGACUGAGAGGUUGAACGGCCACAUUGGGACUGAGACACGGCCCAGACUCCUACGGGAGGCAGCAGUGGGGGAUAUUGCACAAUGGGGGAAACCCUGAUGCAGCGACGCCGCGUGAAGGAAGAAGGUUUUCGGAUUGUAAACUCCUGUCGUUAGGGACGAUAAUGACGGUACCUAACAAGAAAGCACCGGCUAACUACGUG
rnacentral:rRNA from 1 species